GCGGGUGUAGCUCAGUGGUAGAGCUCCAGCCUUCCAAGCUGGUCAUGUGGGUUCGAUUCCCAUCACCCGCUCCA
rnacentral:tRNA from 2 species